UAACACGUGGGUAACCUGCCUGUAAGACUGGGAUAACUCCGGGAAACCGGGGCUAAUACCGGAUGCUUGAUUGAACCGCAUGGUUCAAUUAUAAAAGGUGGCUUUUAGCUACCACUUACAGAUGGACCCGCGGCGCAUUAGCUAGUUGGUGAGGUAACGGCUCACCAAGGCAACGAUGCGUAGCCGACCUGAGAGGGUGAUCGGCCACACUGGGACUGAGACACGGCCCAGACUCCUACGGGAGGCAGCAGUAGGGAAUCUUCCGCAAUGGACGAAAGUCUGACGGAGCAACGCCGCGUGAGUGAUGAAGGUUUUCGGAUCGUAAAACUCUGUUGUUAGGGAAGAACAAGUACCGUUCGAAUAGGGCGGUACCUUGACGGUACCUAACCAGAAAGCCACGGCUAACUACGUGCCAGCAGCCGCGGUAAUACGUAGGUGGCAAGCGUUGUCCGGAAUUAUUGGGCGUAAAGCGCGCGCAGGCGGUUUCUUAAGUCUGAUGUGAAAGCCCCCGGCUCAACCGGGGAGGGUCAUUGGAAACUGGGGAACUUGAGUGCAGAAGAGGAGAGUGGAAUUCCACGUGUAGCGGUGAAAUGCGUAGAGAUGUGGAGGAACACCAGUGGCGAAGGCGACUCUCUGGUCUGUAACUGACGCUGAGGCGCGAAAGCGUGGGGAGCGAACAGGAUUAGAUACCCUGGUAGUCCACGCCGUAAACGAUGAGNGCUNANUGUUAGAGGGUUUCCGCCCUUUAGUGGUGCAGCCAAAGGCAUUAAGCAACUCCGCCUGGUGGAGUACGGUCGCAAGACUGAAACUCCAAAGAAUUGGACGGGGGNCCCGCACAAAGCCGUGGAAGCA
rnacentral:rRNA from 2 species